rnacentral:misc_RNA from 1 species
AACGCACCUUGCGCUCCUUGGCAUUCCGAGGAGCACGCCUGUUUGAGUGUCGUGAAAUUCUCAACCUACAUGGCUUUUGUUUUGUAGGCUUGGACUUGGAGGCGUUGCCGAUGUUUUUAUUUACGUUGGCUCCUCUCAAAUGCAUUAGCUAGCGUCCUUUGCGGAUCAGCUUUUCGGUGUGAUAAUUGUCUACGCCGUAGUUGUGAAGCGUUUUUGACCAGCUUCUAAUGGUCUUGUGAAAGAGACAAAAGAAAUUUCAUUUCAAUGACAAUCUGACCUCAGAUCAGGCGGGACUACCCGCUGAACUUAA